rnacentral:rRNA from 1 species
UACAGAGGUCUCAAGCGUUGUUCGGAAUCACUGGGCGUAAAGGGUGCGUAGGCCGCACGGUAAGUCAGAUGUGAAAGCCCGGAGCUCAACUCCGGAACUGCAUCCGAUACUGGAUGGCUUGAAUCCGGGAGAGGGAUGCAGAAUUCCAGGUGUAGCGGUGAAAUGCGUAGAUAUCAAGAGGAACACCUGAGGUGAAGACGGGUUGCUGGGCCAACACUGACGCUGAUGCGCGAAAGCCAGGGGAGCAAACGGG